rnacentral:rRNA from 1 species
CACGUAGGGUGCGAGCGUUGUCCGGAAUUAUUGGGCGUAAAGAGCUCGUAGGCGGUGUGUCGCGUCGGCCGUGAAAACUUGGGGCUUAACUCUGAGCGUGCGGUCGAUACGGGCAUCACUUGAGUUCGGCAGGGGAGACUGGAAUUCCUGGUGUAGCGGUGAAAUGCGUAGAUAUCGUUUGGAACGCCAAUGGUGAAAACAGACAGCUGGGAGUGUGCUGACGCUGAGACACGAAAGCCAGGGGAGCGAACGGG